CGAGGGGGUUUGAAAUUACCAUGUAUAUCUGGAGCUAUCUGGACACAAUGCAGAUAAAUAAAAAAGUGCGCCAGCUCCAAGACACGGCUUGUUUUUAAAAAUUGAUUAGUCAUUGUUUUCAGUAGUGAAAUGUAUAUAGCUUCAGGAUUUCGAUCGUGAUUGCUAAGUUUAAAGUCAUGGGAUGGAAGUGCUGUACCCCCGGAUGUCGUCAAGGUUAUGACGGCACCCCCAAAACUCCUAACAUCUUAUACCAUGGUUUUAAUGUGCUUCCUAAUCUGGAACUUGAAUCCAAAUGGGAGAGGUCUGUUCCAAGACAGAAAGUGGAUCUCAAGAGGAAUUCAAAAUAUCGACAAUUAAUUACUAAGAAUUCAAAACUGUGCAGCCUUCAUUUCACGAAAUCGGAUUAUAACAAAGACAGGGUAGUGGUUGUAAACUUAAUCGGCAACAGGAACUAAGGAAACUGAAAAUGGAUGCUGAACCUUAAGUGUGGCCAAACCUUCAGGUUUGCCUCUCUUCUCACCCACCUCUUCCUAGACCCAUCCGAACAACUGCUAGUGGCCUACGACUCGAGCUCGAAAACGAGCGUCAGGAAGCCUCGGAGCUCAAAAGGUUUGAAGAAGAAGAGACGCUAACCGUUAACGAACUUUAUGGUAAGUUGUUAGUUGAAACAUUACCGUCGAGAUUUAUACUCAUUAAAUCCCCCAAAUUUGCCCUUAUUAAGCUAGAAGCGACUGAAGGUGAGGGCCUUGAUAUUGAGGCUAGCCUCGAAAUCUAAGAAGAACUUCCCUUUCGAAUUUUUCAUUAGCAUCAUACGCUAAGCAGUUUUUCAGUCUCGCACUGUCUUACCACAAAGGCUAAUGUCAUCAAGUCAGUAACUGAAUUACUCAAUUAAUCAACAUUGCUGCGUAUUUAGGAUCAAAAGAGUUCUUGAAUAAUGAAGAUGCUUAUGAAAUCCUCAUGGGCUUAUUGAACAAACUACUUGUAUCCCCAGACUUCAAGGCAAUUUGUUCUCCAAAAUUGUUUUUCAUCAUAGAACAGAUGACAUAACUCUUUCAAAAACCCAACAGAAGGAGAUUUUCACCUUGUCCUAUUUCUGUUUGAAUUCUGUGGCAAAAUUUAGGACGACCCUCUAUGAUCAAGUCUUCAAGUUGAAUUGCCUUACAGUUCCAUUUACUAAGUAUUUCAGAACUUUGUCUACUGCAGUUACCGUUAGACUAGCAGUUGAUAACCAUCCAGUCAACAGGAAGUUCUUGACUAAUUUUCUCGGUGGUGGUGAGCUCUAGACUUCAAUUACUCACCCAUACAACACCAAUAGAAAAGUUCAUCUCAUCUUCGACCCUGUACACAAUUAUAACAAAAAUAUUUACAACUUCUUCCAAAGGCAAGGAAUGUUCAGCAUUCCCCUGAACCGUCUAGGAGAUUUAUCAUCAUCACACCCUACUUUUGCCCAAAUCAAAGAAAUCCACCAUAAAGAGUCAAGAAAGAGCUCAGAAACUACAAUCGCAGCAAUCGUUGAUACUGUGUGUGAUCUAGGUCACAAAUGGACAGGCAUCCUUAGUAAGAUUUCACAAAUCCUCUUCAACGUGAUGGGCAAAAAUUUGGUUGCUCAACUCAUUGACAACAUCCAACAGAAAGACGGAAAAAAAUAAUCUGAAAAUAAGCUCAAAUCUAGAAAGGUUGCCUAGCUUCAAUAAGACAAUGUUUAAGUUAUGAACAUUAAUUUUCCUGGUGUGUACAUCUAUUUUUGAAAUAAUUAAUGUAAAUUAUAUUGGUGAUAUAGUGCAGCUUAUUUAGUCUUGAAUUCUUAUGAAUUGUCCUAUUAUGAAUAAAUAUUUAUAGAUUUUAACUC
rnacentral:lncRNA from 1 species